AUAAAGGUAAAAUUUAACUUAUCUCUUAUAAAAUCAUACAGGAAACAUUAUCAAACAUAAAAUGAUGUUUGACUUUCUUUAUUCUAAAAACUAAUAAAAAUAGGUGCUAAAAAUUUUCCAAAUGAAAAUAAAUAUUGCUAAACCAAAGAGAAAUGUUAUCUAAGCCCCGUAUAAAAAAUAAAUAAAUCUUGUUCCAAUUGCAUCAAAAAACCCAUUAAGGGCCCUCCAGCACAGGGUUAAUACCAACGAGUUUCCACCUCCAGCUGCUCCUAGAGUGGCCACAGCAUGAGCCAUCUGGUGGGGGACCUAGCCGCCAACAGACACUUCCUGUACAGGGGAGGGGGGAGGGGGCCAGGCAGCCGUUAGACAGCACAACCGAACCCAACACCGGGGCCCAACGGCAGGGGCUUGGGCAGGAGCAAGGUCCGAGGGCUGCCAGGUCCACGCUGCUUUUAUGAGCUGUAACACUCACCGCGAAGAUCUGCAGCUUCACUCCUGAGCCCAGCGAGACCACGAGCCCACCGGGAGGAACAAACAACUCCAGACGCGCUGCCUUAAGAGCUGUAACACUUGCCGUGAAGGUCUGCAGCUUCACUCCUGAGCCAGCGAGACCACGAACCCACCAGAAGGAAGAAACUCCGAACACAUCUCAACAUCAGAACGGACAGACUCCAGACGCACCACCUUAAGAGCUGUAACACUCACCGCGAGGUUCCGCGGCUUCAUUCUUGAACAAUGAAUCCUCCAAUGUACCUGACUCUCCCUUUGCGAAGAGCAUCUCCGUGGCAGAAAUCUGAAAAUGCCCCUGGGGAGACACAUGCACAAGACAGUUCGUGAGCCACACAUCUCCCCACACCAAGCUCCUCCAUACAAGACCUCGGACUGCAUCACGUAAAUGCUUUUUCAGGGGCAAAAUCUAGAGAAUCUGAAACGAGCUAUCAGCUUCCCAGUUUGCACAAUUCAUCAAGAAAUUAUGCGGGGUCACUGGCACAAAUGAUGAGGCAUCUCCUGGAAGCUUAACUUCUUAUCCAUCCCAUCUCUUGGACAGAUGAUGCCAGUUAAUUACUUUGAAUGUAAGUAUUUUAUCUAAAAGCACUUAUGUGUCUAAACAGACUUCUACAAAUCAGUACCAAAAUGGUAAAUAAUUCCACAGAAAUAUGGGCAAAAGCUUAUCAUUAUCAACAAAUGAGAAGAAAGAAACCCUAUGCCAGGUAACACCAAAGCUUUGGCCCAGUGCCCUCUGUUGAAACAUCCUAGGCUUUUUCUUUCCACUCCUAUUACAACUGAUCUGAUUUGGCCCCUUCACACUUCACUCCUAGAUUUUGCUAGACCUUUCUAUUUUGUCUCCCUGAAUUAAGCUUUUCCUUUUGGACACUUUACAUAUGGAUUCUAAAACAAUCCUCUGCAUGUCUACACUUGCACAUAAUGCAAAAAACAAAAUAAAAUAAUCUUCCUGUUUUGAUCAUGUAA
rnacentral:lncRNA from 1 species